GGUAUACCCCAGUAGUCCUAGCCGUAAACGAUGGAUACUAGGUGUUGUCUGUAUCGACCCGGACAGUGCCGUAGCUAACGCGUUAAGUAUCCCGCCUGGGGAGUACGCACGCAAGUGUGAAACUCAAAGGAAUUGACGGGGCCCGCACAAGCAGUGGAGCAUGUGGUUUAAUUCGAAGCAACGCGAAGAACCUUACCAGGUCUUGACAUCCUUUGACCACCUGAGAGAUCAGGCUUUCCCCUUCGGGGGACAAAGUGACAGGUGGUGCAUGGUUGUCGUCAGCUCGUGUCGUGAGAUGUUGGGUUAAGUCCCGCAACGAGCGCAACCCUUGAUCUUAGUUGCCAGCAUUUAGUUGGGCACUCUAAGGUGACUGCCGGUGAUAAACCGGAGGAAGGUGGGGAUGACGUCAAAUCAUCAUGCCCCUUAUGACCUGGGCUACACACGUGCUACAAUGGAUGGUACAAAGGGCAGCAAAACCGCGAGGUCGAGCGAAUCCCAUAAAGCCAUUCUCAGUUCGGAUUGCAGGUCGACGCGGCCG
rnacentral:rRNA from 1 species